AUUGAACGCUGGCGGCAGGCCUAACACAUGCAAGUCGAACGGUAGCACAGAGAGCUUGCUCUCGGGUGACGAGUGGCGGACGGGUGAGUAACGUCUGGGAAACUGCCCGAUGGAGGGGGAUAACUACUGGAAACGGUAGCUAAUACCGCAUAACGUCGCAAGACCAAAGUGGGGGACCUUCGGGCCUCACACCAUCGGAUGUGCCCAGAUGGGAUUAGCUAGUAGGUGGGGUAAUGGCUCACCUAGGCGACGAUCCCUAGCUGGUCUGAGAGGAUGACCAGCCACACUGGAACUGAGACACGGUCCGGACUCCUACGGGAGGCAGCAGUGGCGAAUAUUGCACAAUGGGCGCAAGCCUGAUGCAGCCAUGCCGCGUGUAUGAAGAAGGCCUUCGGGUUGUAAAGUACUUUCAGCGGGGAGGAAGGCGGUGAAGUUAACAGCUUCACCGAUUGACGUUACCCGCAGAAGAAGCACCGGCUAACUCCGUGCCAGCCGCCGCGGUAA
rnacentral:rRNA from 1 species